AAUUAAUUAGAGAUUUUUUUAAACGGCUGCAAUUAGUAGUUGUGCUAAGGUAGCGUAAUCAUUUGCCCCUUAAUUAGGGGAAGGUAUGAAUGGUUUGACGUGGGAAAAGCUGUCUCUUCUAUAUUUAAAGAAGUUUAUUUUUGAGUGAAAAAGCUUAGAUGUUUAUAAAAGACGAGAAGACCCUAUCGAACUUGAAUUAUGUAUUGUAGAUUUAUAAUGCAGAAAGUUUAGUUGGGGAAACUUAAAGUUAAGAAAAACGCUUUUUUGUUGUAAAAUGAUCCUGUAUUAUAGAAAAAUGAAAAAGUUACCGUAGGGAUAACAGCGCUUUCUUCUCUGAGAGGACUAAUCAAAGAGUUGGUUGCGACCUCGA
rnacentral:rRNA from 1 species